GAUGAACGCUGGCGGCGUGCCUAAUACAUGCAAGUCGAGCGAACGGACGAGAAGCUUGCUUUUCUGAUGUUAGCGGCGGACGGGUGAGUAACACGUGGAUAACCUACCUAUAAGACUGGGAUAACUUCGGGAAACCGGAGCUAAUACCGGAUAAUAUUUUGAACCGCAUGGUUCAAAAGUGAAAGACGGUCUUGCUGUCACUUAUAGAUGGAUCCGCGCUGCAUUAGCUAGUUGGUAAGGUAACGGCUUACCAAGGCAACGAUGCAUAGCCGACAUGAGAGGGUGAUCGGCCACACUGGAACUGAGACACGGUCCAGACUCCUACGGGAGGCAGCAGUAGGGAAUCUUCCGCAAUGGACGAAAGCCUGACGGAGCAACGCCGAGUGAGUGAUGAAGGUCUUCGGAUCGUAAAACUCUGUUAUUAGGGAAGAACAUAUGUGUAAGUAACUGGGCACAUCUUGACGGUACCUAAUCAGAAAGCCACGGCUAACUACGUG
rnacentral:rRNA from 1 species